AAAAGAACCAGGUUCUCAUCUUCAUUUCAAUGAGAAAAAAAAAAGUACAAUCAAAGGGUUUAUAAGGCUGUUCAAGAGCUAUUGAUCUGAUAUGAUCAGAUGAUUAUAUUUCAAAUCCUAAUCAUUGAAAAAAAAACAACUAUUUAAUUCAUUAUACAUUUGAAAUUUAGACCUAAAUGGAUUUCAACUAUUAAUGUAUUUUUUUUUUAAUAUUUUCUUGCCAUACACCAAUUUCUGUUGUGUUAACAAAAGAUCUAAUUUGUG
rnacentral:misc_RNA from 1 species